GACGAACGCUGGCGGCGUGCUUAACACAUGCAAGUCGAACGGAAAGGCCCUGCUUUUGUGGGGUGCUCGAGUGGCGAGCGGGUGUGAAACACGUGAGUAACCUUCCCUUGACUGUGGGAUACCUUGAGGAACGUGGGGAUAAUACCGGAUAGGAGCGCCUGCUGCAUGGUGGGGGUUGGAAAGUUUCGGCUGAUGGGGAUGUACUCGCGGUUUAUCCGCUUGUUGGGGGGGUAGUGGCUUACCAAGUCGUUGAGGGGUAGCCGGCCUGGGAGGGUGACCGGCCUCCGGGCGACUGAGAGACGGCCCAGCCUACUACGGGAGGCAGUGGUGGGGAAUAUUGCACAAUGGGCGGAAGCCUGAUGCAGCAACGCCGGGUGCGUGAUGCCGGCCUUCUUGUUGUAAACCGCUGUCGCCUAUGACGAAGCGGUAGUGACGGUAGUGGGAGAAGAAGCACCGGCUAACUACGUG
rnacentral:rRNA from 1 species